UUUUGGCGAGGGAAAAGAGAAAGUAAUUUUUUCCCAAAGUAAAAUGACUAGUUAUUCCAGAAUUGGAAAUAAGGGGGAAAAUAAGAUAAACUCUGAAGAGAUAUAAGAAAGUUGUAGAAGAUCUGUGGAAAGGGAAUCUUGGAAAAGGAGUUUUAUGUGCAGUUGAACUGGCCGAGAUUGAAAUGAAUUUUUUUUUUUUUUGAAAUGAAGUUUUCCAAAAAUAAAUUUCAAUAUCAAAAGUAUUUCAAAGCAAAAUUAGAAUUUAGUUUCUCUCUGCUAAAAGGACAAAAUUUUUUAAAAGAUUGUUGUUCUGGUCUUAAUAAGAAAUUGUAAACAAACAAUUUUCUUUACCUUUUAAAUAAUCUGCUUAGAAAGCAAAGACUUUGUGUUCUACCAAAAUAAUUUACUGUGCUUUACACUGUCUUUAUCAGGUAUUUGAUUACUUAAGAAAAAGCAAUCAUGUCAAUAUUAAAACCAAAAAAAAAAAAAAAGGAUAAUACACCAUGAUAAAGUGUGAUUUAUCCCAGGGAUGCAGGGAUUCUUCAAUAUCCUCAAAUCAAUCAAUGUGAUAUACCACAUCAACAAACUGAACAAUAAAAACCAUAUUAUCAUCUCAAUAGAUGCAGAAAAAGCUUUCGACAAAAUUCAACAACCAUCUCUGAUAAAAACGCCCCAGAAAGUGGGCAGAGAGGGACCUACCUCCACAUAAUAAAGGCCAUACGUGGCAAACCCACAGCGAACAUCAUUCUCAACGGUGAAAAGCCGAAAGCAUUUCCACCAAGAUCAAGAACAAGACAUGGAUGCCUGGAGAGGGAUGGGAAGUGGAAGAGCUCAGGCUGACUGCCCAGCCGCCACAGAAUUCCGGUGAGGAGUGACGGCGCAUCAGCUGUUGUAUGAUGAUAGUUACACCCGUGCAUGUGCAGGACAACGGGAGGAGGCCCUCUCUCAGGCAACACCAGCAAACUGCCAGCCUUGUUCUGUACCAGCAUAAAGGCCAGCGGCGCUUUCCCCGCUGUGCUGCUGCCACCUGUGAAGCUAACAAAGGGAUGUCUGACCUACCCACAGCACCUCGGCUCUUCUUCAGGUUGCCUGAAUCCAUACUGAAUUUGCCUGGUUCUCAAGAGAGAGCAGAACAGUGGGCAUAGUGGGCAGGAUUCACCACAACCUUCAGCCCCUUUGGGAGGUGUCCAGAAGUGGCCGCCCUCAAGCCUGCAGUACUCAGUGACCAGCCUGUGUACCUGGGUGCACCCCACCCUCCCACCCCAAGAAAUGGUGUGAGGUGAACAGGUCCCCUGUGCAGAGAGAGAAAGCCCUGCAUGCAGUAGGGGAGGCUUUGGAAAAAUGGCUCACACAGGGCUGUGGGAUGAGCUGUGGGUGUGGGUGGGCUAUGGGUACCCUGCGGGCAGAGCAUGACUGCUGCUUGAGUCCAGCAAAGUACAAGACCUACAGGACGAGGUGGCAGCCUUCUGUGAGUGUUUGGAGGCUCAGUAGGAGGGUGCCAACUCCAGGGACUAGUCCACAGACACUCCAAAGAAAGGACCUUCGGUUGAGGAAGAGGAAGAGCCUACCUCACUGCUACAGUGCAUCUGGUAGUAGGCCAGAAAACGAAACUACAGCAGCCGAUGGCCCCGGGGAGUCAUGCUGUUGGGCCUCCACAAAUGACAGAGUUACCACUUAGUGCCCUUACACUCAGGCAGAGCUGGUGGACCAGAGCAAACAGUUCCAGCAAUGGCCAGUCGAAAUGCUGGCUGCCUGGUUACGAGGUUAUGGAAUUUAAUGGUGGAUGUGUUAUUUGUUCCACCCAGGAAAUGGAAAAGUUAGCCUCCGUCACCGUAUGCCCCUCACUGCAGCAGCGGCAGACCUGUGGCAGAACGGUUGGCGACAUGGUCAAGGUAACCAUUCCCUCUGGGACUGGACAAUGGCAGCCCCAAGGACUGCGUGGCCAACGUGGGAGAUGGACCUGAAACUGUGAGUAAGGGGCAAAUGUAUGCCGAGGUGGUACAAGUGUUAAGAGAACGGGGGAUGCCACAAGCCGUGUUUAAUCCUAAUGCUCAUGGGCCUCAUGAGGCGUGUUUUACAGCAGGAAUGAGGGACCUCGUGCCACGGAGUGCCCCCUUAGCACCCGUUGGGUCUUUAAUGACUGUUUUGGCUUCGUAUGUGGCGUGAAGGAUUAAAGACGUAACCACAACGGUGGCACUUCUAGGUGAGGCAGAGCCAGCACCAGGGAAGAGGGGUUCAUACUGUUAUCAAACAUGCUAGCACCCCCAGAAAGAUGACGAAUAAGCCCAUGGGAGUUACCCACACCUAAACGUGGACAGACCUCUAAAGGGCAGGGGUUGAUCAAGGCAAGUCUAAUGCAUAUUUGCUGGAAUUGUGGCAACAGCUCCAGGGCGAUCAGAAGUUCACAUCCAUGAGGCGGGGGCCACGUCUAAAGAAGGACUCAAGGAGUCAAGAGCACGGGCAUGGGUCCUGCAUCUCGAGGACCAUGUGUUAUCUGCAGCCCCAAGCAGGGGAAGAUGCCCUUUUUGCCUCUGAGUAGGGCAAAGGCCGAGGUGCUUGUUUGCAGGAGACAAACAGGGACCAGAAACCGCAUGUGGAGUUAGCUAUACGUUGGUCCUCAGCAAAUGUGCAAUGCGUGCUAGCCCUGGUAGAUCCUGGAGCUGACUGCAUGCUCCUACAUGGCACUCCUGAGAAAUUCUAAGGUCCCGUGUGGUGUGUAGAUGGAUAUGGUGGCCACAGCAUUAAGGUCCCAGCUAUAAAGUUACCUUUAGGAACUGGACGACUGCCGCCAAGGGAACAUAAGGUGUGUGUGUCGCCAGUCCAAGAAUAUAACUUGGAACAGAGUGCUCCAAGGGCAAUGGCUGCAGACUACAGCGGGCGAAUUUUGCCUCCGGGUGCAUACGAUAAAGACAGUGGUAGGAGGACAUGCUCAGCAUGCCUCUGUGCGACUGUCUGUUUUGUGACAGGUCACCACCAAACAUCUUCGUCUCCCACGUGGCCACGAGGAAAUUAUGGAGACCAUAGCUGGACUAGGUAGGUGUUAUACAGGCAGCUCACAGCCCCUAUAACUCACCUAUGUGGCUGGUGCGGAAACUGGAUGGCACCUGGAGAAUGACAGUAGACUAUUGUGAGCUAAAUAAAGUUGUCCCUCCUGUGCAUGCUGCUGUGCCCCAAGUAGAUGAAUUGAUGGAUCAUUUGAGUCAAACUGGGCACCUAUCAUUUUGUGGCACAUUUGGCCAAUGUGUUUUUCUCAUUUGACACAGCCCGAGAGUCAAGAUCAAUUUGCAUCCACGUGGAAGGCUGGCAGUGGACAUUCACCGUGUUACCACAGGGAUAUCUGCAUAGUCCCGUGUUGUGUCAUGGCCUGAUGGCCACAGACCUGGCCAAAUGGGAUAAACUGAUGCCAGUCCACAUGUACCCUUAUACUGAUGACAUUUCAUUAAUCUCUUCCAGACUGAUAGAAGGCGGCGCCCCUUUUGUUGACACAUCUGAAGUCAAGCGGCUGGGCAAUCAAUGAAACCAGGUUGCAAGGGCCUGGACUGUCGGUCAAGUUUCUGGGGUUUGUCUGGUCAGGCAAGACAAAGGUUAUUCCCAAAGCUGUUAUAGAUAAGAUACGGGCAUAUCCUGUCCCAACCACAGUUGGACAGUUACAAGUGUUUGAGGCACUCCUAGGGUAGUGGAGAGCAUUUAUCUCCCGUUUAGGUAUUGAAACCACUAUUUGCCUUUAUACAAAAGGGGGCAAAGUGGGACUGGACUUCAGAGGCUGAGACUGCCUUUCUGGUUAUCAAAUAGGCUGUCAAUGCAGCCCAGACCCUACAGGUGUUUGACUCUAUACACCCAUGUGAGUUAGAUGGGGUGUGGACAGGGCUUAGGACAGUUGCAAUAGCUAACACGGUUUGGGUCCCACCUGUGAAAAGGAGCUGAAAUGCAACAUUCGCUAGAUGAAAAGCAGCUGGUGGCCAUAUAUGGCGGCAACUGGAAGCAGAACGGCCACUGCUCCUGUUGUGGUACCCUACAGCAGGAUAGGUAAAGGACUGGACAGUUACACCUUACAUGUUGGCGACUGGACAUAAUUGGGCCUUACCAUGCUCCAAGGGCCAACGCCAUGCAGAGACACUGCCAUGGGCUUGCUGGCUACGUAUCCCGCCCCACAUCCAGAUCAAAGGGCAAUUUUAGCCACCUUAGCCCAUCUGUGUGCAAAAUAUGUGCACCUUCUAGUCACAGAAAGUGACCAAGGUGCCCCUUUCACAGGCUCGAAGGUGCAGCAGUGGGCAAGAGACAUGGGUGUGCAAUGAAUUUUCCAUGUCUCCCAUGAUCCCAAAGCAGCAGAGAUGAUUAAGGUACAAUGAUCUUUUGAAACAAGGGGUCUGUAGUCAGUAUGGUUGGCCGUAGUUACCGGGAAAUUGGACAGGCUGCUGCACUUGGAGAUGGCAUUUCCUCCUGGCCCAAUGGACCCCUCCCCUGCAGGAAUAUCCCAGUAAUUGGGGAGGGUUCAGAGCCUAACAUUGGGUAAAGCAGUCCUAGAGUGCUACUAUCCACUGGCCCUCUUUACACCACAAGGAGUCACCACUGUGACAGAAGCAGAGGGAACUGCCCCUGCCCUGCACACAGCCUGGGUGUUUAACGCUACAUACCAAGCCAUAGGGCUCCUUAAUGAUGAAAUGUAUCAGUUACAGAAGGUGACCUUACAGACUAGCAUAGUCCUGGAUAUGUUAAAGGCAUCAGAAGGUUGAGUAGCACUACGAUUGGCUCAGAAUGCUGUGUAUAUACCAGAGGAGCACUCUAACGGUAGCCGAGCCUUGGAUGCCUUAGCUACAGAAAUGGUAGCUAUGGGAAAACUAACAGGAGAGCCUUUACAGAAGUAGGCCUCCCUCAAUACCAGCUGGUACACUGCUUUAGUCAUCUUAGGAGGAAUGGCAUGUUUCCUGAUAGCAUGCUGUUGUGGUGUUUCUUUUAUUUAUUUAUUUUUAUUUUUUUCCAUUAUAGCUGGUUUACAAUGUUCUGUCAAUUUUCCACUGUACAGCAGGGUGGCCCAGUCACAAAUACACAUAUACUUUCCUUUUUCCCACAUUAUCAUGCUCCACCAUAAGUGAUCAGAUAUAGUUUCCAGUGCAAUUCAGCAGGAUCUCAUUGCUUAUCCAUUCCAAAGGCAAUAGUUUGCAGCUAUUAACUCCAAAUUCCCAGUCUAUUCCAGUCCCUCCCUCUCCCCCUUGGCAACCACAAGUCUGUUCUCCAUGUGCAUGGUUUUGUUUUCUGUAGAAA
rnacentral:lncRNA from 1 species